GGAAAGGAGAUGUGGAGGAGGCAUCUCAACAGGAAGAAGUGGUCCCGGGGUGGGAUGGGAUUACUUUUAAAGAAAUAUGCCAGCUUCUACGGAGACGCGGGGGACGCCCUGGGCCGUGGACUGGAGCAUUUCCCACCGCGACACCAUCGGUUUUAUGUGAGAUGUUAAAGCGGGUGGAGGUUAAAACGAAAGCUCCAUUGGGAGGUAUUUUAGAGAUGAUGUGGAUUUAUGCGGAAGCUUGGAAGGAGCGAGUCUUAACUUUAGACACAGUCCGUUCGUCAGAAUGUGCUAAGUCACAAAAAGUGACGAAGUAACGGUGCCUGCU